CUGAGUGUGGGCGCUGCGCCGCUUAACCCGUGGUCCCGUCCUCCUCUGUCUCGUCCUUCCACACACCUGCCAGUGAUUAACCAAAGGAGAUAGCACAAGGGCACACACAAAAGGAAACAAUAUAAGAAGCCCGCUACUCGCUGCUCCUGUAAAGAAUCCGAAGAGGUGGCCGAAAGAGCAGUUAAUUACGCGAGAACUCUAAUUCUAAGGUGAGGAUUCUCCGGUGAGGUGGCGCGCAUACCGUCCUCCAGACUCCCUUGGUGCCUCCUCCCACACAGUUGCAGAACACCAAGCCACGCCUGGCUCUGUGGGAUUGGGUGACCUGCGUUUGGGGUUCUGCUCCUAGCUUUGGACACGACGCAAGUGUUAUCAUUCACCAUAAAGUUGUUCUGCAUACUGAGUCCGCCGCGAGGGUGCGGGAGACUGCUGCCAUCGCAACUCUGAGCAAGACAGCGUGUGGCAGCAUGGCGGGGCUCUGCUAACAUCACAAAAUAACGGCCUGGUUGUCUUGCGUGGUGACGAUGACUAGACUGAGUGUGUUCAUCCUGCUUAGAGAGACCCGGGAAGCUAUGCUUCUUUCCAUGGCGGUACAGAAUUUGAAGUAUCCAACAAUACCUUUCCACUUCCUUGUAAAUAGACUGGAGUCUAUUUACAAGAAAGUUUAAAGCCAUUGUAGGAUACCUAAAAUUCUGUACCACCACGGAAGGAAAUCAGAGAGCGCAGAAUGGUUGUAUCUUAGAAUCUCUUCCCGCGUCUUUAGGCAGGAAGAACACUCCAUCUAGUCAUCGCCGCCACGCUAGGCAACCGGGACACCAUACUGCGAUGCCAGCAGAGCCCCGACCCACAGAAGAGGCAGCGACAGCCACCAGGACAUGGGUCGAAUAAGGAACUAAACAGGAAAAUCUUGAAAGGCUGCUCCCUGUUAGAUGACGAGCAAUGGAAGGAACACUCAUAACUCCAGGCAGACAUCUCAACCUUCCCGCACAGUGGAGAGGGACUGAUUAUAGGAGCGCACGCAACAUCCUUUCUGGACACGCUUAUACACACACAGUUUUCCAAGUUUGAUGGCUUAAUUGUUAUUUACAAAUUACAAGCCAUCUUAAGCGAUUUCAGAAUGCCACAAGCAGCGUGGCAUAUGUUCACGGACUGAUGAUAAAACAUCCAGCUAUACCCAUGCCUCAGGAAUGAGAGAGGCCAUGGCCAACUGAGGUGAGGGACUGGUGGUGUACAUAUAAAGAGGGGUUGAGAUUUCACCCUUGAGCUACAUUAAUCCCUCAAUGCUAUAUUUUAUUUGUCUCCUAAUAGCGAGAGGUAUUUGGUGGGUGACCCUACGCGCGACACCCAGUUGUCAAUUAAUAGCGAGAGGGGUCAUUCGCGCCGCGCCUUCCCGUCACUCAUGGCGGAGAAUGACGAGCGCCGGCUACUCACCAAUCGUGAAUGAUUCCGGGGCUGGUCACCCAUAGUGUGGACCCCGCUUUUCUGGCGCAGGCAAAUAUUAUUUAUAAUGGUUGCCGUGAUAUAUGACACUUUACUUGGCCCAUGCUGCCCCCUGUGCUCCACUUGAACGAACUUGCUGAAGUUAGGGUUGAUAGAAGAUCUGGGCAGCAUGUGAGUAAUCUGAAGUCGAUGUGUUUUGGUGGGACUCGAACCUCGGUCCAUGGACUCAUCACGCCCGCACGCUGACCACUGCUACAACUCUUGUCAAUGUCUCUUCCUGAAAAAAUAUCUUUGCAAAAAUGUUCGUGUUAAUUUAAAUUAAUACAAAGUAUAUUGCGAA